rnacentral:rRNA from 1 species
UACGGAGGAUGCAAGCGUUAUCCGGAAUUAUUGGGCGUAAAGCGUCCGUAGGUGGUUGAGUAAGUCUGCUGUUAAAGCGUGGAGCUUAACUCCAUAUCGGCAGUGGAAACUAAUUGACUUGAGUGCGGUAGGGGUCAGGCGAAUUCCCAGUGUAGCGGUGAAAUGCGUAGAUAUGGGGAAGAACACCGGUGGCGAAAGCGCCUGACUGGGGCUGAACUGACACUGAGGGACGCAAGCUAGGGGAGCGAAAGGG